CACAUGCAAGUCGAACGAGAAGCUAGACUUCGGUUUAGUGGAAAGUGGCAGACGGGUGAGUAACGCGUGGGAAUCUACCUUAGAGUGGGGAAUAACAAUUAGAAAUGAUUGCUAAUACCGCAUAUACCCUUCGGGGGAAAGGCUUCGGCCGCUCUUAGAUGAGCCCGCGUACGAUUAGUUUGUUGGUGAGGUAAAGGCUCACCAAGACUACGAUCGUUAGCUGGUUUGAGAGGAUGAUCAGCCACACUGGGACUGAGACACGGCCCAGACUCCUACGGGAGGCAGCAGUGGGGAAUAUUGGACAAUGGGCGAAAGCCUGAUCCAGCCAUGCCGCGUGAGUGAAGAAGGCCUUAGGGUUGUAAAACUCUUUCGGCAGGGAAGAUAAUGACGGUACCUGCAGAAGAAGCUCCGGCUAACUCCGUGCCAGCAGCCGCGGUAAUACGGAGGGGGCAAGCGUUGCUCGGAAUUACUGGGCGUAAAGCGAGCGUAGGCGGUUUAUUAAGUUGGUGGUGAAAGCCCGGAGCUCAACUCCGGAACUGCCAUCAAAACUGAUUUACUUGAGAUUGGUAGAGGAAAAUGGAAUUCCUAGUGUAGAGGUGAAAUUCGUAGAUAUUGGGAAGAACAUCGGUGGCGAAGGCGAUUUUCUGGGCCAAUUCUGACGCUGAGGUUCGAAAGCGUGGGUAGCAAACAGGAUUAGAUACCCUGGUAGUCCACGCCGUAAACGAUGAGUGCUAGACGUUGGGAAGUUAUUUUUCAGUGUCGCAGUUAACGCAUUAAGCACUCCGCCUGGGGAGUACG
rnacentral:rRNA from 1 species